rnacentral:rRNA from 1 species
GAUGAACGCUGGCGGCGUGCCUAAUACAUGCAAGUCGAGCGAACAGAUGAGGAGCUUGCUCCUCUGACGUUAGCGGCGGACGGGUGAGUAACACGUGGAUAACCUACCUAUAAGACUGGGAUAACUUCGGGAAACCGGAGCUAAUACCGGAUAAUAUAUUGAACCGCAUGGUUCAAUAGUGAAAGACGGUUUUGCUGUCCCUUAUAGGUGGAUCCGCGCCGCAUUAGCUAGUUGGUAAGGUAACGGCUUACCAAGGCAACGAUGCGUAGCCGACCUGAGAGGGUGAUCGGCCACACUGGAACUGAGACACGGUCCAGACUCCUACGGGAGGCAGCAGUAGGGAAUCUUCCGCAAUGGGCGAAAGCCUGACGGAGCAAUGCCGCGUGAGUGAUGAAGGUCUUCGGAUCGUAAAACUCUGUUAUUAGGGAAGAACAAAUGUGUAAGUAACUAUGCACGUCUUGACGGUACCUAAUCAGAAAGCCACGGCUAACUACGUG